rnacentral:rRNA from 1 species
UACGAAGGGUGCGAGCGUUGUUCGGAAUUACUGGGCGUAAAGGGCGCGUAGGCGGUCUCAUAAGAUAGAGGUGAAAUUCCAAAGCUCAACUUUGGAACUGCCUUUAUAACUAUGAAGCUAGAGUAUGGUAGAGGUAAGCGGAAUACCCAGUGUAGAGGUGAAAUUCGUAGAUAUUGGGUAGAACACCGGAUGCGAAGGCGGCUUACUGGGCCAUUACUGACGCUGAGGCGCGAAAGCGUGGGUAGCAAACAGGAUUAGAUACCCUGGUAGUCCACGCCCUAAACGAUGAGUGCUUGAUGUCGGGAAUAAUUUCGGUGUCGAAGCUAACGCGAUAAGCACUCCGCCUGGGAAGUACGGUCGCAAGACUAAA